GCACGCGAGUGUAGGGUCGCCGCCGGGCCUUCGGGUUGCGGCGGAGGAAAGUCCGAGCUCCGCAGGACAGGAUGCCGGGUAACUCCCGGGCGUCGCGAGGCGACGGAAAGUGCAGCAGAGAGCAGACCGCCGAUGGCCCCUCGGGGCACAGGCAAGGGUGAAAGGGUGCGGUAAGAGCGCACCGGGCCCCUGGUGACAGUGGGUCGCAUGGCAAACCCCAUCCGGAGCAAGGCCGAAUAGGGGACGAGGGGUGGUCCGCCCCGCUCGAGUCCCGGGUAGGCCGCAUGAGGCGUCCCGAGAGGGUCGUCCCAGAGAAAUGACCCUCACCCAUUCGUGGGGACAGAACUCGGCUUAUUCGCGUGCCUCG
rnacentral:RNase_P_RNA from 1 species